rnacentral:lncRNA from 1 species
AUUGAUCUUUUUCUCCAACAACACGCUCGAUGCGGUAGCAUCACCCUUUGCAACGAUCAAGGCUGGUAAGUCCAUCGAUCCAUACAGUUGUCCAUGUACCAGUAGAAGAUUCGGCAGCUACCGCGGCCCCUGCUUCUUCAGGUGGAACUCCAGGUUGAGGAGUUACUCGGAAUGAUCAAGGCUGGUAAGUCCAUCGAUCCAUACAGUUGUCCAUGUACCAGUAGAAGAUUCGGCAGCUACCGCGGCCCCUGCUUCUUCAAG